UCAGAUGAGAUGUGUGAAUAUAGAACAUAUAAGUCCAUUAAUUUUGACUAAUUGGGCUAAGUCCAACUAGGAUUUGUAAAAAGUCUCAUUUAUAGAAUUUAUGACUUGAGAUGAUCUCUGGGAUAGAUUAUGGUAGGACUCUACAGUAUCCCUGCAGUCAGGAGGUGGAAGCAGAAUACUCUGUAGUUAGUGUAAAGAUAGAAUUAUCUCUCUGUCUAUUUUAAUGAAAUCAAUCAGCAACCUUUAACUCAAUCAAUCAAGAACUCAAAGCACUCCUACUCAACACUUAAGUAAGAGAGUUCACAAGUCAAAAGCUCUCACCUCCAAAGGGGACUGCCCAGCCCUGGGUAGGACUAAGCAAAUUGAAAGACAGCAAUUGUUUUCUAUGAAGAAGAGGGAAGAGACUGGAAAUGAUGUAGGAAAAGAGCAUAAAAGAAGAGAAGAGCAUGGCCUUCUACCAUUCCUUUCCUGGCUUUUGGGGAGAUUGUUUCCAGAGAUUCCUACCUUGCUUUGGAGGAGACUCUUUCCCUGGAUUCUGAGUGGUAAGAUAUGCGGCAAGGUGAUCUCCAAGUGGGAUAUUGGAGGGCGUUAUAUAGAGGAAUAAAAGGAGAGAAGAUUUGGAUGUCAUAAUGGAGAAUACAUUAUUCAAUCAGCUGCUCACAUAUUGGUAAGAGAGGAGACAGACAGACACAGAGAGAGAUCUACAAUUCCGCGGUCUGCAAUGUUUGACCUAUUAGCUCCAUGCUCCAUUUAUCUGCGGAGGUUUGCAGAUGUUACCUUGGCCCUGCUGCAAUCAGUGGAAUGAGGUAACUAGAAAAGACUGCAAGCAGUAGGCAGGAGGAAAGAGGGAAAGGAAGAUGUUUGGGAACUCUGUUUUUAUUGACCAGAGGAAAAAGGGAAAAAAGGACUUGAAGAUGAAGUACUUGUUAGUGAAUUAACUUUUUUAGGUGAUUGGGACAACUCAGUCUCCUUUUGCUUUGGUCAUUUAUCUAUUUUUCCAUUCUCCUUUAGUGUGGAAUCCAUGGAAUGGGAAGAGAUCAGACCCCUAACCUUUGGGGGAUGGCCAUUGAAAGCAGAACUGGUGACUUGCAUGGGAGCAUCUUGCUUGUUUGGGGAGCAUCACUGCUGAUGCAUUUCUUUGGCUUUGCAAUGCUUGCUCUUUUAAGUAUUUGUUACUUUAAAUUUUGUUCUUUUCUGUUAGUAUAAAAUUAAGUGUUUUUUUUUUUUACCUGACUGGAUCAAAAAGAAGUAAGGAAUUUUUAGAGGGAUGAAGGCAUAGGUCAAUGGGACUAGAGCAUGGGGGGCAUGAGGAGAAGUAUUUUACCCUCAAAGCAACUACAUACUAUUCGCUGUUACAGAAAUAGAGAAGGAACAGCCAAGGAAGAAAAAUAUCAUUCUUUAUUCUACCUGAGUUUGUAGACCUUGAAGCUUGCCCUUCCCCUCCUGUCAAUGCCAAUCUUUGGGGGCAUUGAUACCAUAGCUCUGCUAUCCAUGCUUGCUAAUCUUACACAUUAGGCUUGAUUUGGUUACCUCCUGCCAGCCUUUUGAGAGAGGAGCUUGCUCUGAUUGACUGUUGUGUGCUGGAAGCAAUUAACUGCAGUAUCCUGAUUUCUCACAGUUCUAAAGAUGAGACCAUGGAGGUUCAUAUGUAGA
rnacentral:lncRNA from 1 species